GCAACCUCAGGCUCGCCCGCGACAACGUGGUGGUGUUCCGCUCCAUGCUGGGGAUCAGCUGGAUGUGGUUCUUUGGCGCGGUGUUUUUGAGCCAGUUCCCGAGUUUUGCCAAAGAGGUGCUG
rfam:Polaromonas sp. JS666, complete genome.